UGAGGAAUAUUGGUCAAUGGACGAGAGUCUGAACCAGCCAAGUAGCGUGAAGGAUGACUGCCCUAUGGGUUGUAAACUUCUUUUAUACGGGAAUAAAGUGGAGUAUGCAUACUCCUUUGUAUGUACCGUAUGAAUAAGGAUCGGCUAACUCCGUGCCAGCAGCCGCGGUAAUACGGAGGAUCCGAGCGUUAUCCGGAUUUAUUGGGUUUAAAGGGAGCGUAGGCGGGUGCUUAAGUCAGUUGUGAAAGUUUGCGGCUCAACCGUAAAAUUGCAGUUGAUACUGGGCGCCUUGAGUGCAGCAUAGGUAGGCGGAAUUCGUGGUGUAGCGGUGAAAUGCUUAGAUAUCACGAAGAACUCCGAUUGCGAAGGCAGCUUACUGGACUGUAACUGACGCUGAUGCUCGAAAGUGUGGGUAUCAAACAGGAUUAGAUACCCCGGUAGUCCACACAGUAAACGAUGAAUACUCGCUGUUGGCGAUACACAGUCAGCGGCCAAGCGAAAGCAUUAAGUAUUCCACCUGGGGAGUACGCCGGCAACGGUGAAACUCAAAGGAAUUGACGGGGGCCCGCACAAGCGGAGGAACAUGUGGUUUAAUUCGAUGAUACGCGAGGAACCUUACCCGGGCUUAAAUUGCAGUGGAAUGUAGUGGAAACAUUACAGCCUUCGGGCCGCUGUGAAGGUGCUGCAUGGUUGUCGUCAGCUCGUGCCGUGAGGUGUCGGCUUAAGUGCCAUAACGAGCGCAACCCUUAUCUAUAGUUACUAUCAGGUCAUGCUGAGGACUCUAUGGAGACUGCCGUCGUAAGAUGUGAGGAAGGUGGGGAUGACGUCAAAUCAGCACGGCCCUUACGUCCGGGGCUACACACGUGUUACAAUGGGGGGUACAGAAGGCAGCUACCUGGCGACAGGAUGCUAAUCCCUAAAACCUCUCUCAGUUCGGAUUGGAGUCUGCAACCCGACUCCAUGAAGCUGGAUUCGCUAGUAAUCGCGCAUCAGCCACGGCGCGGUGAAUACGUUCCC
rnacentral:rRNA from 1 species